rnacentral:rRNA from 1 species
CAGUUGAGCGCUGAAGGUUGGUACUUGUACCAACUGGAUGAGCAGCGAACGGGUGAGUAACGCGUGGGGAAUCUGCCUUUGAGCGGGGGACAACAUUUGGAAACGAAUGCUAAUACCGCAUAAAAACUUUAAACACAAGUUUUAAGUUUGAAAGAUGCAAUUGCAUCACUCAAAGAUGAUCCCGCGUUGUAUUAGCUAGUUGGUGAGGUAAAGGCUCACCAAGGCGAUGAUACAUAGCCGACCUGAGAGGGUGAUCGGCCACAUUGGGACUGAGACACGGCCCAAACUCCUACGGGAGGCAGCAGUAGGGAAUCUUCGGCAAUGGACGAAAGUCUGACCGAGCAACGCCGCGUGAGUGAAGAAGGUUUUCGGAUCGUAAAACUCUGUUGGUAGAGAAGAACGUUGGUGAGAGUGGAAAGCUCAUCAAGUGACGGUAACUACCCAGAAAGGGACGGCUAACUACGUGCCAGCAGCCGCGGUAAUACGUAGGUCCCGAGCGUUGUCCGGAUUUAUUGGGCGUAAAGCGAGCGCAGGUGGUUUAUUAAGUCUGGUGUAAAAGGCAGUGGCUCAACCAUUGUAUGCAUUGGAAACUGGUAGACUUGAGUGCAGGAGAGGAGAGUGGAAUUCCAUGUGUAGCGGUGAAAUGCGUAGAUAUAUGGAGGAACACCGGUGGCGAAAGCGGCUCUCUGGCCUGUAACUGACACUGAGGCUCGAAAGCGUGGGGAGCAAACAGGAUUAGAUACCCUGGUAGUCCACGCCGUAAACGAUGAGUGCUAGAUGUAGGGAGCUAUAAGUUCUCUGUAUCGCAGCUAACGCAAUAAGCACUCCGCCUGGGGAGUACGACCGCAAGGUUGAAACUCAAAGGAAUUGACGGGGGCCCGCACAAGCGGUGGAGCAUGUGGUUUAAUUCGAAGCAACGCGAAGAACCUUACCAGGUCUUGACAUACUCGUGCUAUUCCUAGAGAUAGGAAGUUCCUUCGGGACACGGGAUACAGGUGGUGCAUGGUUGUCGUCAGCUCGUGUCGUGAGAUGUUGGGGUUAAGUCCCGCAACGAGCGCAACCCCUAUUGUUAGUUGCCAUCAUUAAGUUGGGCACUCUAACGAGACUGCCGGUGAUAAACCGGAGGAAGGUGGGGAUGACGUCAAAUCAUCAUGCCCCUUAUGACCUGGGCUACACACGUGCUACAAUGGAUGGUACAACGAGUCGCGAGACAGUGAUGUUUAGCUAAUCUCUUAAAACCAUUCUCAGUUCGGAUUGUAGGCUGCAACUCGCCUACAUGAAGUCGGAAUCGCUAGUAAUCGCGGAUCAGCACGCCGCGGUGAAUACGUUCCCGGGCCUUGUACACACCGCCCGUCACACCACGGGAGUUGGGAGUACCCGAAGUAGGUUGCCUAACCGCAAGGAGGGC